CGGACGGGUGAGUAACGCGUGAGGAACCUGCCUCAGAGUGGGGGAUAACACACCGAAAGGUGUGCUAAUACCGCAUAACAUAUGGGAGGGGCAUCCCUUUCAUAUCAAAGAUUUAUUGCUCUGAGAUGGCCUCGCGUCCAAUUAGCUAGUUGGCGGGGUAACGGCCCACCAAGGCGACGAUCAGUAGCCGGCCUGAGAGGGCGGACGGCCACAUUGGGACUGAGACACGGCCCAGACUCCUACGGGAGGCAGCAG
rnacentral:rRNA from 1 species